ACUCCUACGGGAGGCAGCAGUGGGGAAUAUUGCACAAUGGGGAAACCCUGAUGAGCCAUGCCGCGUGUGUGAAGAAGGCCUUCGGGCUUGUGAACACUUUCAGUAGGGAGGAAGGUAGUGUAGUUAACACCUGCAUUAUUUGACGUUACCUACAGAAGAAGCACCGGCUAACUCCGUGCCAGCAGCCGCGGUAAUACGGAGGGUGCGAGCGUUAAUCGGAAUUACUGGGCGUAAAGCGCAUGCAGGCGGCCUGUU
rnacentral:rRNA from 1 species